AGUAACGAUAAAGCGGGUGAAAAGCCCGCUCGCCGGAAGACCAAGGGUUCCUGUCCAACGUUAAUCGGGGCAGGGUGAGUCGACCCCUAAGGCGAGGCCGAAAGGCGUAGUCGAUGGGAAACAGGUUAAUAUUCCUGUACUUGGUGUUACUGCGAAGGGGGGACGGAGAAGGCUAUGUUGGCCGGGCGACGGUUGUCCCGGUUUAAGCGUGUAGGCUGGUUUUCCAGGCAAAUCCGGAAAAUCAAGGCUGAGGCGUGAUGACGAGGCACUACGGUGCUGAAGCAACAAAUGCCCUGCUUCCAGGAAAAGCCUCUAAGCAUCAGGUAACAUCAAAUCGUACCCCAAACCGACACAGGUGGUCAGGUAGAGAAUACCAAGGCGCUUGAGAGAACUCGGGUGAAGGAACUAGGCAAAAUGGUGCCGUAACUUCGGGAGAAGGCACGCUGAUAUGUAGGUGAAGUCCCUUGCGGAUGGAGCUGAAAUCAGUCGAAGAUACCAGCUGGCUGCAACUGUUUAUUAAAAACACAGCACUGUGCAAACACGAAAGUGGACGUAUACGGUGUGACGCCUGCCCGGUGCCGGAAGGUUAAUUGAUGGGGUCAGCGCAAGCGAAGCUCUUGAUCGAAGCCCCGGUAAACGGCGGCCGUAACUAUAACGGUCCUAAGGUAGCGAAAUUCCUUGUCGGGUAAGUUCCGACCUGCACGAAUGGCGUAAUGAUGGCCAGGCUGUCUCCACCCGAGACUCAGUGAAAUUGAACUCGCUGUGAAGAUGCAGUGUACCCGCGGCAAGACGGAAAGACCCCGUGAACCUUUACUAUAGCUUGACACUGAACAUUGAGCCUUGAUGUGUAGGAUAGGUGGGAGGCUUUGAAGUGUGGACGCCAGUCUGCAUGGAGCCGGCCUUGAAAUACCACCCUUUAAUGUUUGAUGUUCUAACGUGGACCCGUGAUCCGGGUUGCGGACAGUGUCUGGUGGGUAGUUUGACUGGGGCGGUCUCCUCCUAAAGAGUAACGGAGGAGCACGAAGGUUGGCUAAUCCUGGUCGGACAUCAGGAGGUUAGUGCAAUGGCAUAAGCCAGCUUGACUGCGAGCGUGACGGCGCGAGCAGGUGCGAAAGCAGGUCAUAGUGAUCCGGUGGUUCUGAAUGGAAGGGCCAUCGCUCAACGGAUAAAAGGUACUCCGGGGAUAACAGGCUGAUACCGCCCAAGAGUUCAUAUCGACGGCGGUGUUUGGCACCUCGAUGUCGGCUCAUCACAUCCUGGGGCUGAAGUAGGUCCCAAGGGUAUGGCUGUUCGCCAUUUAAAGUGGUACGCGAGCUGGGUUUAGAACGUCGUGAGACAGUUCGGUCCCUAUCUGCCGUGGGCGCUGGAGAACUGAGGGGGGCUGCUCCUAGUACGAGAGGACCGGAGUGGACGCAUCACUGGUGUUCGGGUUGUCAUGCCAAUGGCACUGCCCGGUAGCUAAAUGCGGAAGAGAUAAGUGCUGAAAGCAUCUAAGCACGAAACUUGCCCCGAGAUGAGUUCUCCCUGACCCUUUAAGGGUCCUGAAGGAACGUUGAAGACGACGACGUUGAUAGGCCGGGUGUGUAAGCGCAGCGAUGCGUUGAGCUAACCGGUACUAAUGAACCGUGAGGCUUAACCUU
rnacentral:rRNA from 1 species